GAAAAGGACUCCAGGCUACGCUUCCACUUCGACUUCCUGAAGAUCCCGUUAGUGACGGCGCAGUCCUUUCCGCUCCAGGGAUCGCGGAAGCACCCGCAUCGCCCAUUCUCAGCCGCACAGUGUUUCCACCUGCCGCUCUCGGCUCUAAAUUUCCUUACCAGAUGCGUGAGAUGGCUAUCCAGGACCGUGCCCUCAGACUACCUCAAGGAGGAGUUUCUCUUAGGAAGAGUAAACUAAAACCAAUUUGACAUGGAUUCAGGCAUGGUCCACCUUUUUUUUUUUUUUUAAAUCUCUGUAGGAUUAGUCAGUAAACUCUAGAUUUCAGAUCUCUUCUGUAAAAUCUAAAGAUAAGCGAACAGUGCCUUGACUGGGACUUGUCCUAAUGCAACCAACCAACCCCACAAAUUGAGAGGCUGUGAAGUGGCAAGAUUUGGGACAGGCUAAGAACUAUGCGAAAUAAAAGUAGAAACCUUGAAGGUGACCCCGAAUUAAAGUGGACAAGUAGACUAAUUUUUAACGCUGAGAAACAGAUACGUAAAUUCAUUAAUUUCAAAGACUAGUUCUACAUUCUUAAGAGAUUGGAGUUUAGUAUACUAGAUCAGACAUAAUUCUGACUUCUAUGUACACUCAAAAAUUAUAAAAUUUGUUUUAGAACAAGCCCUAUUUCUAGUUUAUCUUUGUUUCUUCAUGCCAAUGUUUGUGCCAGGUACUGUUGAAAGUGCUCAUCACCAAAUCUUCUUCCUCAGUGCAGCGAUACACUGUGUUCCCCAGCCUCCCUUGCUAUUAGCUGUAGCCAUCCAGAGUUACCUAAUUAAAAAAAAAUAAUUCCACGAUCAA